CUGCCGCUGGGGGGGAAACCGAGCUCUGUGGCUCCAGGGGUGUUGUCCACCCGCCUGUAAUCAGGGUCUGGGUGCGUGAGCGUUUGUGCUCUGCUGGCAGCCUGUGUGGGGUGACCGCCCCGCUAGCGGGGUGUGGGUCGAGGUGCCCCGGACUGGGAGAGAAGGAGCCUCCCUCGGCCGUAGGGAUGGGGGCUGCCCUGUAAGUCAGGGAGCAUCUGUGUCCCGGAGUCCCAGGCCCUUUUCAAUGGCGGCAGUGGCCGGGGGUCCCCUGUAAGCAGGGAAGCUGACUCUUUGGCUGCUGCUUUUUGUGUGCCCAGCCCCAUUUGCCCAGUCUGCCCGCCUCUGUGAUCCCCCGCAGCACUGGCUGGAAGUCCGCCGCGUGUCAGUGAGGAGCUGCUGCAGAAGAAAGAAGAAGCGGCGUGGGGACCUGGGCUGCAAAAUCAAGAUGGGGUAUCUGUUGACUGUUUUUCUUGUAUUUCUUUGCCUUUUGGAGCCACAGUUUUGAACGGUUGUGUAAGACUUUAUCACUCUUUUUGUCAGCGUCGUCAGCUGUGAAUAAAGUUUUUUUUCCAUGUUGUUUUUCCUGU
rnacentral:lncRNA from 1 species